rnacentral:RNase_P_RNA from 1 species
GGAGUCGGCCAGACAGUCGCGUCACUCGCAAGAGUGCCGAGGAAAGUCCGGGCUCCAUAGGGCAAGGUGCCAGGUAACGCCUGGGCGGCGUAAGCCGACGGAAAGUGCAACAGAAAGAUACCGCCUACGUCCCUCGUCACCCCUCUGCGGCCUCCGAACGCACUUGGCGAUGCCUAUAUGCAUCGCCNUGGAUCCGGGUAGGUUGCUUGAGCGCUGCGGUGACGUAGCGCCUAGACGAAUGACUGUCCACGACAGAACCCGGCUUACCGGCCGGCUCCGCCA